rnacentral:misc_RNA from 1 species
GCGGACCAGUGUGUAAAACUGGAAUUUCUGUCAUUCCAGACUUCGACCCGACUCAACCGGACAGAAAUGGCGUCCUCCCAGGAUGCUUGGUAUUUAUCGUUGUUGGGUCUCGCCGAACACUUCCGCACCUCGAAUCCGCCCGACAUCAAAAAGUGCAUUCAGUGCCUCCACGCCGUGUUCACGUUCAAGCCGCCGAGCAGGGUCGAAGCCAGGACCCAUCUGCAACUCGGCAACAUUCUACUUUCCCACACGAAAAACGUCGAUUUGGCGAGAAACUACCUCGAACAAGCCUGGCUACUUUCGCAGAAUAUUAACGCUUUUGACGAUGUGCGGUUCGAAGCGGCAAGUGUCCUUGCGAGUGUUUACGAAGAGCAAAAUCAGAAAAUCUUAUCUAAGUCAAUUCUCAGGCGAGCCAUCGAGUUAUCACAGCACAGCGUCUAUUGGCACUGCAGGCUAUUAUUUCAGUUAGCGCAAAUCCAUGCAUCGGAAAGAGAUUACGAAUUGGCCUGCAGUUUGUUAAGCGUAGGCGUCGAUUACGCUCAUAUUUCAUCAGCUCAUUAUACCCGAGUUUUAUUUCUACUCAGCCGUUGUAUGUUGAUGCUGAUUGAUAAAAAAUUUUCUGACGUGCUUCCAUUACUCAAUCAAGCUGGGCAUUUAUUGGAAAACUGGCAAGGGAAUCAAUAUCAGAAGGAAUACUUAAAGGUCUUCUUCCUAGUCCUCCAGGUUUGUCACUAUUUAAUGGCAGGCCAGGUGAAAAGUGUGAAACCCUGUCUUAAACAACUACAACAGAGUAUACAAACUAUAAUGCAACCAUCAUGGCCCUCUGAUGAAGUUGUUAGUGGACCAAAUGUAGGUGACAUGUUUAUUUGGAUGCCAAAGGAACAUUUGUAUGUUCUUGUUUACCUUGUAUCAGUGAUGCACAGUAUGCAAGCAGGUUAUAUGGACAAAGCACAGAAAUACACCGACAAAGCGUUAAUGCAAAUUGAAAAGCUCAAAAUUGUAGAUAAUAGUGGGAUCCUCUGUGCCCUUCAAUUGAUGCUUGUCGAACAUAUGGUUAUGUGCAGGCUUGUUAUGGGCAAUAAAUGUAUCGCCCUUUCUCAGAUGGCCAACGCUUGCUCCCUGUGCAGUGCGAACCCUCAACUGAUGAGAAACCACAGGCCUCAGCUGCAUGUCCUCCUCGGCCUUUAUGCCAUGUCAAUGAAUUGCAUGCAAGCCGCUGAACAACAGUUCAACGCAGCAAUAGUAUAUUCUCAAGAGAGGGAUUUGUGGACGUUUGCAAAUCUAAAUCUUGGUAUAGUUUAUUUGAGAGGGAAACGUGAAGCAGAGUUCAAUGCUCUUUUGGAUCGGAUCAAUCCAGAAAAUCUUCCUUCUCAUUCACAUAGUUUACGAGCCGCAGCGUACUAUGUUCUAGGUUUACAAUCGUUCUUCCAGUCUAGACACAAUGAAGCCAAACGUUUUUUGAGGGAGACAUUGAAAAUGGCAAAUGCUGAAGAUUCUAAUAGGUUAACGUCAUGUUCAUUGGUCCUUCUUGGCCAUAUUUUCCUUUCGUUAGGGAACAGUAGAGAAAGUAUGAAUAUGGUGACCCCUGCAAUGCAACUGGCUAGUAAAAUCCCAGAUGUUCAUGUACAGCUCUGGGCGUCGGCGAUUUUAAGAGAUCUCUACAGAAUGUGCGGAGAUCCGAGGGAAAACGAAGCAUUCCAGAUGCAUUGUAACUUUUCUCAAACUCUUCUUAAGGACCAUUUUCAGUCGAGUCAAAUGCCCGAACACAAUCUUAUAUAUUGGACUGAAGGAGAUAUUCCUGCAUUACCACCACCAUCGACGUCAGCACCACUGAUGUAAUAUUGGCUGUACAUAGUAAAAGAAGCUAUUAUAUUUCUAUUUACAACCUACUUAAAUGGUCGCCUAAACAGUGCAAACGAUUAGGGAUAGGGGCGAAGAAGAAGAAAAAAUGGGAAACAACUCUCCAUAUCGAAGGAAACCAUAUUUAAUAUUUUUUAUAACAUAUAGAUAUAUAACAUACGUAAGUUAACGAUAUGAAUCUAGGUGUGAAAAAAUUCACAUUUGUUACAUCAUAUUAUAUUUUAUUUUUAUAUUAAAAAUGUACAAAUUUAUUUAUGAAGCGGCAAGAAAAAAUGUAAAAUAUGAGGUAAUUUUGUAUUUAAUAAGAAAAAGAAGAAAAAGUGUAAAUUGUUAUAUGAGAUUAUUUUUAGAAAAAACUUGUUACGUCUGGAAGAGCUUUUAACUUAGUUAAUGUUCUUACACGAAUGUUAAGAUAAUAACUGUAAUUCCAUUAAUGUCACUGAACAUUUAAAAAAAAAAAAAA